UUCUUCCCAUCCACCUUCUGCUUCUUCGCAGACUUCUUUUUCUUUCUAAAAGACUUUCUCUUGGAAGAAAUCCACUCCACAGUAAGAACUGAGCCUUUUGAACCCUUCAUGGAAAGCUCAGCUGUAACCAGCAUAUUUAUUAACUCGGCCAAGGUACACUGCAUCUUAUGCAUAUGAAAGUUCAUGAUGAACUGACCAUAUGCAUCGGACAAGGACUGAAGGAUCA
rnacentral:lncRNA from 1 species